rnacentral:rRNA from 1 species
UACGAACCGUCCAAACGUUACUCGGAAUCACUGGGCUUAAAGGGUGCGUAGGCCGCGCGGAGGGUGGGAUGUGAAAUCCCCCGGCUCAACCGGGGAACAGCGUCCCAAACCGCCGUGCUCGAGGGAGACAGAGGUGAGCGGAACUGAUGGUGGAGCGGUGAAAUGCGUUGAUAUCAUCAGGAACACCAGUGGCGAAAGCGGCUCACUGGGUCUUUCCUAACGCUGAUGCACGAAAGCUAGGGGAGCGAACGGG